UAUCCAUCAGUGACAUCGGUGAGCGAUUCACCGCGCUCCAGGAGCUAGAGCUGUGUCCUGGGAUCAUGCUGCAGAAGGUAUAAACAAUCAAACUAAUGAUGGCUGCGUUCCAUUCAGCUGCUUCGGUUUAAGCUUCUGCAGUUUUCAAAGGUUCAAGCAGCUGCUGACUCGUGGUUGGGAGAAACAAAUGAAUGAGUGUCUGGACGGGGGAAUCCAUCAUGUGAGCAUCCGUUUGAAGUCGAUAUGGGAGCACAUAUUGGAAAAAGUCUGCAUUCAUCCCAACGUAUUGUCAUUGGUGUGCGUCCAGGUUGCCCCACGUUCAGGAAAAAGUGUCACGUAAACCCUGGCAGCUGACUUUGUCUCCCCUGCGUUGGAUCCAGUGUUACCGCCCGACUGCUGUCAGGAGCCACCGGCCAGACCGACAGCUGCCUGGAAAGAGACUCUCAUGGGUCCAAACAGAACCUUAGCUUGCGGGUCUCUGUGACUGUAAAGCCUCAUCCAGUCUGUGAUUUCCCAAAUGUUGCCUGAUACGUUCACUGCCACAGACUGCAGGCUACACCCACAGUGACCCCAACGCCUACUACAGCAUGCCAUUCCAGAGGCUAUUAUAAAUUUGACAACAUAAGUAAUCACUGUCGAAAGAGUGCAAACACGAAUACUUCUUAA